ensembl:lncRNA
CUUCAAGAUGGCUCAUGAGCGUCUGCUUCCGGCCACCUCCCUGCGGGCUCUCCUGGAAGCCUUUCUCAUCUCUGCCCUGGAUCACUGUGCUGGCCCCUGGCUGUGCUCUCUGCUUCCCGCUGGUCACUGUGGUGGUCAUCGGUGUGGUUCACAGCACCCCAGUUUUCAUACGAUGGCAGGCUCACACUCCCCACCUGCUUCUGGAGUCCACUGUGGCCAGGCGACACACUUUGACCGGUGAAAUGCAAAGAGCCAUGAAGACCUGUUGUUGCUGCCCUUUGUGCCCUGAGAUGAUCUCCUCCCUUCCUGGAUAGGUUGGGGAGCCCCACAUGAGACUGGAAACAGGGCUAGAAUUGUUCCGAACAAAAGAAGCAUGAAUUGCUGGAAACUAUAUAUUAAAUGCAAGACUAUUUGUCUAGUUUUCAUUGGGUGCUGAGUGAAGAGCCUCAACUCCUCGUAUUCCCAUGGUACUCAGAUGUCCGCGGAGUCCGCUGCUCCUCACACUGUCAUUUCUCUCACUGGGCACAAUCCGGCUUUAAAGAAUCCGACACUUACUGGUCUUUAUGGAACUGUCAGCAGUGACAGCAACCAGGGACACUGCCAUGUCUUGCUGUUUACAAAGGAUGAGCACAACAAGGCAUCUCGAUGACUUGAUAAGCCCUGAGCUCCUCUCUCCCCAACUCUGGCCUCUCUGGACCAGCGGCCUUUGCAUGGCCAGCUAAAGACACAAGAAUUAAAACUUGAUCCAAACACUAACAAGUCUGCAACCACGGCCAUGAAGAUAAAGUAGGGCUGCUCAAGGUUGCUUGGUAAACAGCGAAAACAGAGAAACAGGAGGAUCCUUAUAUGCACAGGUUAUUUUUCUUUCAGUAUACUUAAAAUUUAGUGGAAAGAAAUCCUAGGCUAGCAUUAAAUUCAUAGAUUAUUAUUAUGGUCUUGAAUAGUUCAUCUUGUUUUCUCACUCUGACACUCCUUCACUUCUUUAGAAAUUCCAGCCAAUAAUGUUGUAGCUAAAUUAAGAUCAAAGUUUUUCUUUUUAUUUUAGGGGGUUGAAGGCUGAUCAGGGGAGCACAGGCUUAGCAUGCACAAGGCCCUGCUUCAGUUCCUGCAGUCUGCACCCCAAAAGAGCUUUUAAAAAAAGUUUUCUGAACCUACUAAUUUUUAUUUAGGGAAUUUAGGUAUGUCUUGGAAAUUAUAUAAAUGUAUGUGCUUUUCUCUUUCUGGCAUGCUAAGUUACGGUAGCCUUGGAAGUUGAAACUCUGUCCCCCUUUCCUUUUAUUGUUUUUCAACAUUGAACACAUGGAAGAAGAAAGGAAACUUUCACAUGCUUAUGUUGCACUGGUUCAAUGGUUUUGUUAAGUCUCACACACACAUCUCAUAGCUCUACCAACUGCAUAGGGUUUAAGAAUAUUGUCUUUCUUCAAUUCUAGGACAGGUUGGGCCAAUGGUGUUUGUCUUCUGAAAGUAUUCCUAGAAAGGGUCUUCUAAGACCCUUGAAUAAAGAUUUUACAAUAGACUUUUCCCAUCACUUGCUGCUCCUUUCUUUCCUUUUUUUUUGGUACCGGGGAUUGGACUCAGGACCUUGGGCUUUCGAGGCAGGCGUGGUGCCACUGAGCUAAGUCCCUGGACCUACUCUGCUCCUUUCUUGCAGAAAUGCUAUUGCUAAAAGUAACAUAUGUCAUAGUUCAUAGAGCAAAGUGUCUUAAUUUUAGCAAUGUGAUAUCCACAUUCAUCACAAGACUGUAGCUUUACAUUGACAGUUACAGAAAGAAAUCUCAUCUUGAUCAUAAGGCAGAAUCUUCCUGGGGCCAGGUCUCUGCUGAGAAUCUUUCUGAACAGUUCUUUUGAGAUACAUGCCUAAUCUUUACUACAGUGUCUGUAUGUAGAGUUAGCUUCACUUGGAAAUCAUUGCUUCACAGGUAUUAUGUCUCAGAUUUUGAGCAAAAGUGGGUAUUCCCUUUAGGUUGAAACUGAAGUUCCAGGGUCUGUCCACCUCUACAGAACACAUUAUGGGUGACAUUACAAACCCAGGGCUGUGUGCUUGCAGAUAAGUCCCCUAUGUUGCCACUUUCUCCCGUGAGCCCAGUCUGAAGGUGGAGUUCCUGUUUUCCCUGGGACACUCAGGACAGAGGGCCCGCUAGUUGAGCUCUUAGAGUGAUAAAUAGUGCAAUGCAAAACAGCACGCUCACAGCUGAUGUCAACCUCUACUCCAUCUAAAAAAAUAUUUGGAGUGAAUAGAGUUAUGUAGCUAGGAAAUGAUGCAAAGGAAGAAUAUUCUGUACAGGUCAGUGUUUGUACCAUCAGAAUUAGCUAGUACAUAGAGUUGAUACUGCUGGUGGCUGCCUCUUUGUACCUCUUUGAUGUGUUGGAGGCAAUUUCCAUCCUCCUAAACAAGUUAAAUACAUUUUAUGAUUUUGACAGGC